AUGUGGUGCAUUUGCUUCAAAGGGAGGAGAGAAGAUGGGGACACUACCACUUUCUCGAAAGAGAGUUUGUCUUGUGGAAGAAAAAAGGGAGACACUGAAGGGAGGAUAGCAGAGGACAACCGUCUCAUUGGUGGAGAAAUGCCCUGUCAACAAAAACCAACCUACAAUCCCCAGUCUACCAUCACAGUGCAGGGUGGAAGCAUUGUAAUUGCCCCAGAGAUCAACUCCACAGUAGGAGGUGACAUCAACAUCAACAUUGGAACAAAGGUAUAAACUUGUAACUCUUCCACUUUCUAUAAAUGGCUGUGAGGAAAAAGGUAUUGGGGUGUCAGGAAGCCUAGUGGUUAGAGCAAAGGGCCAGGAACUGAAAGGUUGGUGGAUCGAAUUCCUGAGCUGACAAGGUAAAACAAAUCUGUCGUUCUGAGCAUGUCAAGUUAACCUAUUGUUCCUAGGCCAUCAUUGCAAAUAAGAAUUUGUUCUUAACUGACUUGUUCAGUUAAAUAAAUAAAACCAUUGCAGACUGAAAAAGCCAUCAGCAGCGCAGGAAGAAACUUUCAGACCAAAGUUUCCUGUGUAAAGGAGAAGUUGUUGUUAAACUCUCAAACAGUGCAGUAAUAUCUAACAAUUCCCAACAACUACCUAAUACACACAUCUAAAGGGGUGAAUGAGAAUAUGUACAUAUAAGUAUAUGGAUGGCCAAGUGGCAUAGGCAAGGUGCAGUAGAUGGUAUAAAAUACAGUAUAUACAUGUAAUGUAAGAUAUGUAAACAAUAUUAAAGUGGCAUUAUUUAAAGUGCCAUUGUUUUAAAGUGACUAGUGAUCAAUGUAAGUGUCCAGUGAUUGGGUCUCAGUGUAGGCAGCAGCCUCUGAGGUAGUGAUUGCUGUUUAACAGUCUGAUGGCCUUGAGAUUGAGAAACAGCUUCUAUCUCGCGGUCCCAGCUUUGAUGCACCUGUACUGACCUUGCCUUCUGGAUGAUAGCGGUGUGAACAGGCAGUGGCUCAGGUGGUUGUUGUCCUUGAUCUUUUUGACCUUCCUGUGACACCGGGUGCUGUAGGUGUCCUGGAAGGGCAGAUAGUUUGCCCCCAGUGAUGCGUUGUGCAGACUGCACUACCCUCGAGAGCCUUGCGGUCGAGGGCGGUUCAGUUGCCGUACCAGGCUGUCAUACAGCCCGACAGGAUGCUCUCGAUUGUGCAUCUUUAAGAGUUUGUUCGGGUUUUGGUUGACAAGCCAAAUUUCUUCAGCCUCUGGUUGG
rnacentral:lncRNA from 1 species